rnacentral:lncRNA from 1 species
CACCCAUCUCACUAGUUCCAGCCUCCCACCCAAACCAUUGGUCAUCAGCCAUCUUCACCACUCAGGAACCGUCCAUCUCUUUAAAGACUCUCCUAUCUCGCCUGACCACCGGCCUCAAUGACCGCCUCUGUAGAUCUGUGUCACGGUGCUUGUCCGCUGGCGUGACUACGACGACUCUUAAUUAGAGAGAUAAUCAGAUUAUACAGUCGCCGUAAGCGGAGGAGCUGAGAAAAAUUUUACAGUAAUUUUUGUUUAUAGAUUUAGCUUCAAAUUUGAUGGAUUUAAUUUGGUAGCUCUUUCUUGUUUCAAUUACUUUUUGGCAUCAUUGAUUCGAUUGAAUUGAGAAACAACUUACUACAGAUUUGAAGCUCAUUUACAUAUGUGUUUAUGGUGGGUCUUUGAGCUUUGGUGAUGAUUGUUUUUUUGGGUGAACGGUAAGGAGGAGUGGGGAAGGUGGGUGGUGGUGGUGGUGGUGAGGAGGAUCGGGUGGGUGGGUGGGUGGGGGUGGGGUGGGUGAACGGUAGGGACUAUCCGGGAACGAAAUUGCAAAAGUUGAGGACUAUAGCUGUAAUUUUAGAAAGUUAGGGACUAAAGAUGAAACUGGAGCAAACCACAGGGACUAUCCGGGGUGAAAAAACUGCCAAGCAGCAGAUGGAGGCAUUUUAUCGCUAGCCCGAUGGGGGUUGAAUCGGAACAUCAGAGUCAACGAUUAGUGUUUGGGGUACUCUAUUGGUGUCAUUGAUGGGGGGAAAGGAUCAGAUUGACGAUGCACAAAUGUUUGAAAAGGAUGAUGGAGCCGCAGGUAGGGGAGAAAGGGGAGAGAGGCGCAACGGUCAUUCGAGCACCGUGGCUGCAGUCAGAGAUAUAGCAGCAGCAGAUUCACCAUCACCGCCUACUUCUUGCACGGGUAGUCGAUUGCUCUUGCCAUAUACAGUGUAUGUUUCUAGGAUUUUUUUUAGAUUGAGUGUACACAGUUUGUCAGUCUCUGCAUGUGUAGUUUCUUCCUUUUUUUUCACAAAUUUGUGAACAUUGUUGUGAUUGAGUUUUGUUGUUUUGGUGUAAUAAAAAGUUUAAAAUUUUCAUCUUAGGU